rnacentral:rRNA from 1 species
AGGGUUUGAUCAUGGCUCAGAAUCAACGCUGGCGGCGUGCCUAACACAUGCAAGUCGAACGCGAAAGCCCCGCAAGGGGCAAGUAGAGUGGCAAACGGGUGAGUAACACGUGGGUGACCUGCCUUCGAGCGGGGGAUAACGUCCCGAAAGGGACGCUAAUACCGCAUAACAUCCCGCCUUUGAAGAGGUGGAGAUCAAAGCUGGGGAUCGCAAGACCCGGCACUUGAAGAGGGGCCCGCGUCUGAUUAGCUAGUUGGUGGGGUAACGGCCUACCAAGGCAACGAUCAGUAUCCGGCCUGAGAGGGCGGACGGACACACUGGGACUGAGACACGGCCCAGACUCCUACGGGAGGCAGCAGUGGGGAAUUGUUCGCAAUGGGCGCAAGCCUGACGACGCAACGCCGCGUGGAGGAUGAAGAUUUUCGGAUCGUAAACUCCUGUCGAAUGGGACGAAUAGAUAGCGGGUUAACAGCCCGCGAUCCUGACGGUACCGUUAAAGGAAACCCCGGCUAACUCCGUGCCAGCAGCCGCGGUAAUACGGGGGGGGUAAGCGUUGUUCGGAAUUACUGGGCGUAAAGGGCUCGUAGGCGGCCAACUAAGUCAUACGUGAAAUCCCUCAGCUUAACUGGGGAACUGCGUGUGAUACUGGAUGGCUUGGAUUUGGGAGAGGGAUGCGGAAUUCCAGGUGUAGCGGUGAAAUGCGUAGAUAUCUGGAGGAACACCGGUGGCGAAGGCGGCAUCCUGGACCAAUAUUGACGCUGAGGAGCGAAAGCCAGGGGAGCAAACGGGAUUAGAUACCCCGGUAGUCCUGGCCCCUAAACGAUGAAUGCUUGGUGUAGCGGGUAUCGAUCCCUGCUGUGCCGAAGCUAACGCAUUAAGCAUUCCCGCCUGGGGAGUACGGUCGCAAGGCUGAACUCAAAGGAAUUGACGGGGGCCCGCACAGCGGUG